rnacentral:rRNA from 1 species
CUUUAACUCUGGGAUAAGCCUUGGAAACGGGGUCUAAUACCGGAUACGACCAACCCUCGCANGGGGUGUUGGUGGAAAGGGAUUUUGUACUGGUUUUAGAUGGGCUCACGGCCUAUCRGCUUGUKGGUGAGGUAACGGCUCACCAAGGCGACGACGGGUAGCCGGCCUGAGAGGGUGACCGGCCACACUGGGACUGAGACACGGCCCAGACUCCUACGGGAGGCAGCAGUGGGGAAUAYUSCACAAUGGGCGCAAGCCUGAUGCAGCGACGCCGCGUGAGGGAUGACGGCCUUCGGGUUGUAAACCUCUUUCAGCAGGGGAGAAGCGAAAGUGACGGUACCUGCAGAAGAAGCGCCGGCUAACUACGUGCCAGCAGCCGCGGUAAUACGUAGGGCGCGAGCGUUGUCCGGAAUUAUUGGGCGUAAAGAGCUUGUAGGCGGUUUGUCGCGUCUGCUGUGAAAGCCCGGGGCUUAACCCCGGGUUUGCAGUGGGUACGGGCAGACUAGAGUGCAGUAGGGGAGACUGGAAUUCCUGGUGUAGCGGUGAAAUGCGCAGAUAUCAGGAGGAACACCAAUGGCGAAGGCAGGUCUCUGGGCUGUAACUGACGCUGAGAAGCGAAAGCAUGGGGAGCGAACAGGAUUAGAUACCCUGGUAGUCCAUGCCGUAAACGUUGGGCACUAGGUGUGGGGAACAUUCCACGUUUUCCGCGCCGUAGCUAACGCAUUAAGUGCCCCGCCUGGGGAGUACGGCCGCAAGGCUAAAACUCAAAGAAAUUGACGGGGGCCCGCACAAGCGGCGGAGCAUGCGGAUUAAUUCGAUGCAACGCGAAGAACCUUACCAAGGCUUGACAUAUACUNGAACCGCUNNAGAGAUNGGGUUUCCCUUUUAGGGCUGGUAUACAGGUGGUGCAUGGUUGUCGUCAGCUCGUGUCGUGAGAUGUUGGGUUAAGUCCCGCAACGAGCGCAACCCUCGUUCUAUGUUGCCAGCACGUAAUGGUGGGGACUCAUAGGAGMYUGCCGGGGUUAACUCGGAGRAAGGUGGGGAUGACGUCAAAUCAUCAUGCCCCUUAUGUCUUGGGCUUCACGCAUGCUACAAUGGCCGGUACAAAGGGUUGCGAUACUGUGAGGUUGAGCUAAUCCCAAAAAGCCGGUCUCAGUUCGGAUUGGGGUCUGCAACUCGACCCCAUGAAGUCGGAGUCGCUAGUAAUCGCAGAUCAGCAACGCUGCGGUGAAUACGUUCCCGGGCCUUGUACACACCGCCCGUCAAGUCACGAAAGUUGGUAACACCCGAAGCCGAUGGCCUAACCCCUU